UGGUGUGCUCAUUUGUGGGUGGGGAUGCAGCUGUGCUUGGGCUGAGACAGGCAUGUGGCCAAGGCCCACCCAUCCUUGGGAGCAAAAGGAGAACCAAACCAGAGCCCAGAGUGCUGCCUGCCCUAGGCUUUUUCUGAAUCUCCGGGGACUUCGCCCCUGGAAGCGGAGUGGAAGGGACAGUCCACCAACAGCCGCCAUUAUGGCUUCCAACAUGGAGAAUCACACCUCUCUUUAUAUUCAACAGGAAACAGCGGCUAACAACUCCAGGAACCAGAUGACUGGAGCUGAGGACAUAGCACUAGAACUGUCAAGACGUGUGUUCCCAAGAAGCAGAGCCCAUGUUCACGGAGUUCCUGCGGUGUUCCUGGGAUCAGCUACUAUGGAAAUUCAAGGAAGACCAUGGGGCACCAAUGAUGCAGCUGGAGCCAUGUGUGCUUCCUUUUAGAAAGGGGAUCCAUGCAGCUCAUUAAAAUAUUUCUGCUGCGUCUGCUGCACUGCAGAACAUGAACAAGCCAGGUUCCAAGCGCCUACCACCCUAGAUGAAGCAGCUUCACUAUGCCUUCCCACCAUGAUAGAUGGCAUUUUCAGAAACCAUAAUCUGAAGACUCCCUGACAGUGCACUGUUUACAUUGAGUGUCCUGCCACAAUGUGUCUCUCAUUGGCCUACAACUCAUCAAUUAAGCUACGCUGGCCAGCCAGAAAGCCCCAGACAUCUACCUGUCUCUGGAGAGCUGGAAUUACAAGUGAGUCACCACACAGUUUUUGUGUUGGAUCAGGGGAUUGAACUCAGGUCCUCAGGCUCACACAACGAGUACUUAAUCAACGAACUAUUCCUCCAGCCCCAGGAGAGACUGAAUAUUCUAAUCUCCAUAGCUGGAGCUGCUCUGAUGACUAAAUGGUUAAUAAAACACU